UACGUAGGGGGCAAGCGUUGUCCGGAAUCAUUGGGCGUAAAGAGCGUGUAGGCGGCCCGAUAAGUCCGCUGUGAAAGUCCAGGGCUCAACCCUGGGAUGCCGGUGGAUACUGUCGGACUAGAGUACAGAAGGGGCAACUGGAAUUCUCGGUGUAGCGGUGAAAUGCGUAGAUAUCGAGAGGAACACCUGCGGCGAAGGCGGGUUGCUGGGCUGAUACUGACGCUGAGGCGCGAAAGCCAGGGGAGCGAACGGG
rnacentral:rRNA from 1 species